AUUUAGGUAGUUUAAGGAAAAUAUUAAUUUGUGGAGUUAAUGAUAUAGUAAUAAAAAAUUGUCCUAAAUU
rnacentral:tRNA from 1 species